AUUGAACGCUGGCGGCAGGCCUAACACAUGCAAGUCGAGCGGAUGAAGGGAGCUUGCUCCUGGAUUCAGCGGCGGACGGGUGAGUAAUGCCUAGGAAUCUGCCUGGUAGUGGGGGAUAACGUCCGGAAACGGGCGCUAAUACCGCAUACGUCCUGAGGGAGAAAGUGGGGGAUCUUCGGACCUCACGCUAUCAGAUGAGCCUAGGUCGGAUUAGCUAGUUGGUGGGGUAAAGGCCUACCAAGGCGACGAUCCGUAACUGGUCUGAGAGGAUGAUCAGUCACACUGGAACUGAGACACGGUCCAGACGCCUACGGGAGGGAGCAGUGGGGAAUAUUGGACAGUGGGCGAAAGCCUGAUCCAGCCAUGCCGCGUGUGUGAAGAAGGUCUUCGGAUUGUAAAGCACUUUAAGUUGGGAGGAAGGGCAGUAAGUUAAUACCUUGCUGUUUUGACGUUACCAACAGAAUAAGCACCGGCUAACUUCGUG
rnacentral:rRNA from 1 species